rnacentral:misc_RNA from 1 species
GAUGAAGAACGUAGUGAAAUGCGAUAAGUAAUGUGAAUUGCAGAAUUCAGUGAAUCAUCGAAUCUUUGAACGCACAUUGCGCCCGCCAGUAUUCUGGCGGGCAUGCCUGUUCGAGCGUCAUUACAACCCUCAGGCCCCCGGGCCUGGCGUUGGGGAUCGGCGGAAGCCCCCUGCGGGCACAACGCCGUCCCCCAAAUACAGUGGCGGUCCCGCCGCAGCUUCCAUUGCGUAGUAGCUAACACCUCGCAACUGGAGAGCGGCGCGGCCACGCCGUAAAACACCCAACUUCUGAAUGUUGACCUCGAAUCAGGUAGGUAUACCCGCUGAACUUAAGCAUAUCAAUAAGCGGAGGA